GAAAAUAAGAUGUGUCUAACGGUAAAAAAGUAGAGACUUACAGGCACAUGCCAUCUGAAUCAAUUCAAAAUUGAUCACCGACUUUGCUUUUUUAAAUGUCAACCCUUUAAAUCAUCAACUUCACGAAGCGAUUAGAUGCUUUAUUCUAUGAUAAAACACACAAGAUUUCUCUUUUACUGCUUUUGUUGAUUUCUCUAUAGAUUAUCGAGGACUCUAGAGCAUGAACAUUCAUAAAGCAAUGAGAGAGAAACUGAAUCGGAGCAUGAACAAUCGUAGAGAUUGCUUUUAACCCAUCAUCAUUCAAACCUGUUUUUUAUGUAUAGUUAUGUCUGGUGUGGAGUUGGGCCUCUCGUUCGUACUCUUUCGCAGAUCUGGUUCGGGAUGGUCACUGAAGAUUCGAUGAUGAUGGUAGCUCUGGUCCGUGAUUGAAGAUCGGGUUGCCGCUGGUUCCAUCGAUCUUUUGAAGAGCCAAGCAACGAGGACAUGGAGAAGAUGAUAUCUGGAGAUGGGUUAGUGAAGAUGAUAUCUUGUAAACAUGCGAUGCGGGAACUGAUAAGAGAUUUGUCUUUAAGUUAUGAGAAUGAGAUGCUCGCUAAAUCUUCUCACACUGACUCAUCUUUUUGAUGCUACCUGUUGAUCUUUUUGUUAAGCAGAUCAAGGAAUGGACUGAGGGGAAUGAGGAUAGUUCCCUACUUGAAGCAAUCUACGAGCCCUUGAUGAGGAAUGGACUGAGGGGAAUGAGGAUAGUUCCAUAUUUGAAGCAAUCUACGAGCCCUUGAUGAGGUUACAAAACUAGCUGAAUGUGACAUAUAUCGUACAAGUUCUGAGCUCAUAAACAGCUCCGACAAAGAGGUGUCCAACAGUCAGUCCAAAAGGUUUCUAUCUAAGAUGAUUGAUGCUCGCCAAGUUAUGCUUUUGUGGAGUUGGUUCUGUUGUCCAAGAUGAGUAGAAAUUGCUUUCACUCUUGAUACUUCAGCAGAACCUUUAUGAUUUACAGUGUCGAUGUUUGCAAGCAUUUUGUCUUGAUAAUCAUGAUUCAGCAACUCAAUUGCUUUCCUUGUGGUAACUCAAACUUUUACAGAUUCUAUACUACAGUAAUUUCUGUUUUAAUUGGCGGAUAGAAGUCACUUCAAAGAACUUAAAUGCUGUGUAAGCCACCAAAUCUGAAUCAGGUGCCUGAAGAAAUUCCAAGUAGGAGACAUGAUUAUUUACGGGAGAAUCACACGUGUGUGGAGCCUUGACGGUCCAUUGAAAUAGAUCAUACGAGCAUAUUAAAAUCUAGUUUCUUGUAAACAGUAUGCUACUUGCCAAAUUGUACUUAGGUCUCAACUAGACUUGCCAUUUUAAUUGAUUUCUUUCUUGGUUUGUGGUAA